rfam:Erwinia tracheiphila strain BuffGH Etrach_2, whole genome shotgun sequence.
CGCCAUUUAUGGCGUACAGGGUCCAGUCGCUUAACGCCCCGAAUUUUCGGGGUUUUUUGUUAUCAGAAAACAGCAAACUGGGCUAUUAAGCCCUUUUUUU